rnacentral:rRNA from 1 species
GUCUAAGUUCGGAUUGCAGUCUGCAACUCGCCUGCAUGAAGUCGGAAUCGCUAGUAAUCGCGGAUCAGCAUGGCGGGGUGAAUACGUUCCCGGGCCUUGUACACACCGCCCGUCACACCACGGGAGUUUGCUACACCCGAAGUCCGUGGGGUAACCGCAAGGAGGCCGCUUCCCAAGGUGGGGUAGAUGACUGGGGUGAAGUCGUAACAAGGUAGCCGUACCGGAAGGUGCGGGUGGAUCACCUCCAUAAU